ACAGGGCAUUGCCCUAUAUAGCGGCGAGUGAAGCAGGCAACAGCUCAAAUUUGAAAUCUGGCUCUUUUAGAGUCCGAGUUGUAAUUUGCAGAGGGCGCUUUGGCGUUGGCAGCGGUCCAAGUUCUUUGGAACAGGACGUCACAUAGGGUGAGAAUCCCGUACGUGGUCGCUAGCCUUCGCCGUGUAAAGCCCCUUCAACGAGUCGAGUUGUUUGGGAAUGCAGCUCUAAAUGGGAGGUAAAUUUCUUCUAAAGCUAAAUAUUGGCCAGAGACCGAUAGCGCACAAGUAGAGUGAUCGAAAGAUGAAAAGCACUUUGGAAAGAGAGUCAAAUAGCACGUGAAAUUGUUGAAAGGGAAGCGCUUGCAGCCAGACUUGCCUGUAGUUGCUUAUCUAGACUUUUGUCUAGUGCACUCUUCUGCGGGCAGGCCAGCAUCAGUCUAGGCGGUUGGAUAAAGGUCUCUGUCAUGUACCUCUCUUCGGGGAGGCCUUAUAGGGGAGACGACAUGCAACCAGCCUGGACUGAGGUCCGCGCAUCUGCUAGGAUGCUGGCGUAAUGGCUGUAAGCGGCCCGUCUUGAAACACGGACCAAGGAGUCUAACAUCUAUGCGAGUGUUUGGGUGUCAAGCCCAGACGCGUAAUGAAAGUGAACGGAGGUGGGAACCCUUUGGGUGCACCAUCGACCGAUCCUGAUGUCUUCGGAUGGAUUUGAGUAAGAGCAUGGCUGUUGGGACCCGAAAGAUGGUGAACUAUGCUUGAAUAGGGUGAAGCCAGAGGAAACUCUGGUGGAGGCUCGCAGCGGUUCUGACGUGCAAAUCGAUCGUCAAAUUUGGGCAUAGGGGCGAAAGACUAAUCGAACUA
rnacentral:sRNA from 1 species